UCCCUGGUGGUCCAGAGUGCAGGUUAAGGCUCUGCGCUCCUAAUGCAGGGGACCUGGGUUCGAUCCCUGGUCAGGGAA
rfam:TPA: Bos taurus chromosome 21, whole genome shotgun sequence.